UGCCUAAUACAUGCAAGUCGAGCGAACAGAUAAGGAGCUUGCUCCUUUGACGUUAGCGGCGGACGGGUGAGUAACACGUGGGUAACCUACCUAUAAGACUGGGACAACUUCGGGAAACCGGAGCUAAUACCGGAUAAUAUGUUGAACCGCAUGGUUCAAUAGUGAAAGAUGGUUUUACUAUCACUUAUAGAUGGACCCGCGCCGUAUUAGCUAGUUGGUGAGGUAACGGCUCACCAAGGCAACGAUACGUAGCCGACCUGAGAGGGUGAUCGGCCACACUGGAACUGAGACACGGUCCAGACUCCUACGGGAGGCAGCAGUAGGGAAUCUUCCGCAAUGGGCGAAAGCCCGACGGAGCAACGCCGCGUGAGUGAUGAAGGUCUUAGGAUCGUAAAACUCUGUUAUUAGGGAAGAACAAACGUGUAAGUAACUGUGCACGUCUUGACGGUACCUAAUCAGAAAGCCACGGCUAACUACGUGCCAGCAGCCGCGGUAAUACGUAGGUGGCAAGCGUUAUCCGGAAUUAUUGGGCGUAAAGCGCGCGUAGGCGGUUUUUUAAGUCUGAUGUGAAAGCCCACGGCUCAACCGUGGAGGGUCAUUGGAAACUGGAAAACUUGAGUGCAGAAGAGGAAAGUGGAAUUCCAUGUGUAGCGGUGAAAUGCGCAGAGAUAUGGAGGAACACCAGUGGCGAAGGCGACUUUCUGGUCUGUAA
rnacentral:rRNA from 1 species